AGGGCCGCGGUAAUUUGACCGUGCGAAGGUAGCAUAAUCAGUAGUCUUUUAAUUGAAGACUUGAAUGAACGGUUGAAUGAGGGACAAUCUGUCUUUUUUUCAAGAAUAGAAUUUAACUUUUAAGUGAAAAGGCUUAGAUAUUUUGAGGGGACGAUAAGACCCUAUAAAACUUUAUAUAGUCUUUUUAGUGCUAAAGAGUGUGUUUAAAUUAGUUCUAACUUAUCUGUAUUUCGUUGGGGAAACGUUGAUAUAAUGAUUAAUUGUUUGUUUAUUUUAAUAAUUGUAAUUAGAUUUUGAUCCUUUAUUAUAGAUUACAAGAUUAAGUUACUUUAGGGAUAACAGCGUAAUUUUCUUUGAGAGUUCUUAUCGACAAGAUUAGUUGCGACCUCGAUGUUGAAUUAAAACUUCAGGUUGGUGUAGCCGCUAAUCUGGUGGGUCUGUUCGACCUUUAAAGUUUU
rnacentral:rRNA from 1 species